CCAGAGUUGAAAGAUAUCUUGUCUUCCAUGCUGGCUUCUUCUGAGGGCCCAGCCCUGUCUGGAUGCCUGUAAUAUUUUAUCUGACCCAGCUGCCUACAACACUAACCCAUCACAAAAGCCACG